UACGUAGGUGGCAAGCGUUGUCCGGAAUUAUUGGGCGUAAAGCGCGCGCAGGCGGCCUCUUAAGUCUGAUGUGAAAGCCCACGGCUCAACCGUGGAGGGUCAUUGGAAACUGGGGGGCUUGAGUGCAGAAGAGGAGAGCGGAAUUCCACGUGUAGCGGUGAAAUGCGUAGAGAUGUGGAGGAACACCAGUGGCGAAGGCGGCUCUCUGGUCUGUAACUGACGUUGAGGCGCGAAAGCGUGGGGAGCGAACAGG
rnacentral:rRNA from 1 species